rnacentral:pre_miRNA from 1 species
AUUAUACUCCCUGUGUCCCAAAAUUCAUGUCUUAGAUUUGUCUAAAUAUGAAUGUAUCAAGUCACAUUUUAGUAUUAGAUACAUCUGUAUCUAGAUAAAUCUAAGACAAGAAUUUUGGGACAGAGGGAGUAGUAA